UACAGAGGGUGCGAGCGUUGUUCGGAAUUAUUGGGCGUAAAGGGCGCGUAGGCGGUGCGGUAAGUCACCUGUGAAAUCUCCUGGCUCAACUGGGAGCUUGCAGGCGAAACUGCCGUGCUGGAGUGUGGGAGAGGUGCGUGGAAUUCCUGGUGUAGCGGUGAGAUGCGUAGAUAUCAGGAGGAACACCUGUGGCGAAAGCGGCGCACUGGACCAUAACUGACGCUGAUGCACGAAAGCGUGGGUAGCAAACAGG
rnacentral:rRNA from 1 species